UGAGGAAUAUUGGUCAAUGGGCGAGAGCCUGAACCAGCCAAGUCGCGUGAGGGAAGAAUGGUCUAUGGCCUGUAAACCUCUUUUGUCAGGGAAGAAUAAGUGGUACGUGUACCAUGAUGCCAGUACUUGACGAAUAAGCAUCGGCUAACUCCGUGCCAGCAGCCGCGGUAACACGGGGGAUGCGAGCGUUAUCCGGAUUUAUUGGGUUUAAAGGGCGCGUAGGCGGGAUGCCAAGUCAGCGGUAAAAGACUGCAGCUAAACUGUAGCACGCCGUUGAAACUGGUAACCUCGAGACGAGUCGAGGAUGGCGGAACAAGUGAAGUAGCGGUGAAAUGCUUAGAUAUCACUUGGAACCCCGAUAGCGAAGGCAGCUGUCCAGACUCGAUCUGACGCUGAUGCG
rnacentral:rRNA from 1 species